UGGGGAAUAUUGGACAAUGGGCGGAAGCCUGAUCCAGCCAUGCCGCGUGUGUGAAGAAGGCCUUUUGGUUGUAAAGCACUUUAAGCGAGGAGGAGGCUACUUGGAUUAAUACUCUAGGAUAGUGGACGUUACUCGCAGAAUAAGCACCGGCUAACUCUGUGCCAGCAGCCGCGGUAAUACAGAGGGUGCGAGCGUUAAUCGGAUUUAUUGGGCGUAAAGCGUGCGUAGGCGGCUUCUUAAGUCGGAUGUGAAAUCCCUGAGCUUAACUUAGGAAUUGCAUUCGAUACUGAGAAGCUAGAGUAUGGGAGGGGAUAGAAGAAUUCCAGGUGUAGCGGUGAAAUGCGUAGAGAUCUGGAGGAAUACCGAUGGAAAAGGCAGCCAUCUGGCCUAAUACUGACGCUGAGGUACGAAAGCAUGGGGAGCAAACAGG
rnacentral:rRNA from 1 species